rnacentral:lncRNA from 1 species
UCUAUAGUACAUUGUAUUAUCAGACUGUAUCGAAAACCAGAGACUGAAAAGGAGAAUACAGAGAACAAAAAAAAGAGUGAAAAAUUAGAGAAAAAGAAAACAUCAAAAAAUAUAGAGAGAAAAAGAAAAAGCAUUGAAUCUGAGUUUCGUUCGAGUUUCGAUUCCGAUGACGAAUUCUUGUUUCAUCACAGGUUCUAUUCAAUCAUGAAUUAUUUAUUUUUUGUAAACUUUAUUAUGAAGAAGCAUGAAUGAAGAAUGUUCAAGCAAAGAUUAUGCAUUAUUUGAUCUGUGUAAUUGAUUGAUUACAUGAACUUUUAUUAUUAUAUGUUAUACUAUCAAAUUAUUGAAUAUUUAUAUAUUUGUACUGUGUUGAAUAUAAAAAUAUUGUAGGUAUGAUACUAGUUUACAAUUAAAACAGAAAGGAAAUAAUAGGAAGAAAAUGAGUACUGUUACGAUUUUACACACUCUGUUAUGAUUCAAUGCAUACAUUAUCAAUUUCACACACACACAUAAAAUUCUCGUACACACCACAUACAUUCAGAUUACGUAUAAUGACACAAUAAUACACAGAUAGUAGUAGGCAUGCACGAAAAACAGUAAUAAACACAUACUGUUGAAAAAAAAAUAGUGGAAGAAUAGAUGGAAAAUAGUGAACGAGUGAAAACAUUAGACAAAAAUUGAAUGAGAAAAAUCGAGAGUAAAUCACUGAAUAAAAAAAUAGUAGUUUCUAAUUCGUCCGGCGAGAAACUUGCUGGAAUCACUAGCCAAAGGCUAUUGCCCCUUUUCUUUCACCGGCCAUCGCCACCAUAUCCAAAAAUCCGCCGCCGCCGCCGCCGCCAUUAAUGGCGAAGCCAUGGACGGCAACUACCAACAACCACCACCGGAGAAAACUCUCCCUCCCACUUUCCCGAUGUUGUCAGUCCACCAACCGGCUAGCGAAGCUUAGCCGUGCUGCCGCCGUCUUCAGAUCUACCCACAUCGGCGUCGCCUUUUCUUCCCUCUCCAUUUUUCUGGCGAACUAACUCGCCGGAUAUCCACUAACGCCGCCGCCUCAUGUUCUGUUCAGAGAAUCCCUCUGCUCGACUCCACCAACCUCCCUUCGUUACUGUAGUUAAAAUUGUAAUGUUAUAAUAAUUUAUAUUUGGUUUAUUAGCAAAGUUGAAAAAUUUAUUAUUAUAUUAUUUGGGUUUAAAUUGACGGGUAAAGGAUAACGUUUCAAUUUUUUGUGCUCCUUUUAUUAAAAGAAAAAAAUGGAAUCUUUAUUUUAUUUGUAAAUAAGUUAUACAGUAAUAUUUAUGUUGGAUAAAACUUUUAUUUGCCAAUAAAAGUUAGAAUUUUGACUAAUCUCUUGAGAUUGAAAAAUGACUUGCUUUUUGAACAAUAUGGAUAAUUUUAUAUAUAUAUAUAUAUAUAUAUUAUUUUUACUUUUUAUUACUAAUAAAAUUUAAUAAUUAUUCGUAAAAACUAAUUGAUUGUCUCGAAUGAAUUUGCAUAAAAGUUUUUUUUUUUGUUAAGUUUAAUCAAUAUUUUAGCGUUAAGCAAAUUUUAGGCACGUUUUAAAAUAUUCAUCUCAAUUAAGAAUGCGGCGUAGACCUCUUUAUGAGACAUUUUAAAAUUCAAGGAUGCAAUAACGCAUUUUGACAAAUAUUUUUCUAAAAUUAAAUUUUAUCGAUUUAUUUAAUAAUAGAUAAAUUUUAGAUAUUAAAAAUGUGCGAAUUUAGGCCUUAACUUAAUAUUCAAAAUAGUUUAAGUCAACAUAAGUAAAAAAAAAGCGACUGUGCUAGAACCACGGGACUCGAGGGGUGCCUCGCACCUUCCUCUCGGUCAACAGAAUUCCUUAUCCGAUCUUCUAUUUUCGCAGACCAAAUAAGAGUCAUUUUCUUUUGAUUAGGGAUUCAAAAGGUGACUUGGAACACUAUAACUCAAUUACAAGUGGCGACUCUUUAAAUAAACUAAUAUCUAUUUAAUAUCAUCACUUUAAUUGAAAAAAUCCUUCGACUUCGAUCCCUCGGACGAAAAAGGGGUGUGACACUAUGUGGGAAUACUAUGUUGUUGUUACUUAUAUUAUAUUUAUACGUAGCAUAAAGCUCUUAUAUAAAGAAAUUAAAGAAUAUAUUAGUAUAUACUUGUUGCAGAUAUAGUCCUACCUCGAUCAUACAUCCUCAAUACGAAUUUACUUUUCGCAAUAUAGGGUUUAAGUCAUGUAAUUUACAAGCUACUUAUCGUUUAUUCAAUGUUAAUCAAUGAUUAUUGAAUAAAAUCGUCAUGUAUAAUUACAUUUUGAAUGAUGUGAUUGUAUAAAUUACAGGAGACCAUCGAUGAUGCAGAUGACAAGCUGGAAGACACAGUAUUGCUGUUGCUCAACCGUGAGACAAGACCCAAUUCAGUAUAUUAAGGGAAAUAAGGGUAACAAUAUUCAAAGAAAGGCUUUGGAAAAAAAAAAAAAAAAAAAGAGCUCAUCCUUAUAUAUCGUCCAAAAUCUAUUAAAAAGCUCACUGGAUAUAAUAACACCACCCAACAAAACUGCAAGGGGUGCACGACG